rnacentral:rRNA from 1 species
GAUGAACGCUGGCGGCGUGCCUAAUACAUGCAAGUCGAGCGAACGGACGAGAAGCUUGCUUCUCUGAUGUUAGCGGCGGACGGGUGAGUAACACGUGGAUAACCUACCUAUAAGACUGGGAUAACUUCGGGAAACCGGAGCUCAUACCGGAUAAUAUUUUGAACCGCAUGGUUCAAAAGUGAAAGACGGUCUUGCUGUCACUUAUAGAUGGAUCCGCGCUGCAUUAGCUAGUUGGUAAGGUAACGGCUUACCAAGGCAACGAUGCAUAGCCGACCUGAGAGGGUGAUCGGCCACACUGGAACUGAGACACGGUCCAGACUCCUACGGGAGGCAGCAGUAGGGAAUCUUCCGCAAUGGGCGAAAGCCUGACGGAGCAACGCCGCGUGAGUGAUGAAGGUCUUCGGAUCGUAAAACUCUGUUAUUAGGGAAGAACAUAUGUGUAAGUAACUGUGCACAUCUUGACGUUACCUAAUCAGAAAGCCACGGCUAACUACGUG